UCAUCAAGAUUGAAUUUGAAAAGUUGGCAAUCUCUUCCUGAAAUAUUAUACCUGCGACUCUAAGAAGCAUGGAUGCCCGUGGCGAUCAUUGUUUACCCGAAAACAUCAAACAAAAUCAUACAAAAAAUACGAAUCGAAGAGAAAUCAUACUGUAUCCGAACAACCAAUAAAUUUAUUACAAAAUAAAAGAGAAAGAGGAGAUGUACAAGAAAGAGAGGGAGUUAUCGAAAAACAGCUGAUCAGAAAAAAAGGGCAAAAGCAAGAAGAGCGACAUCUACGCAACCAGUAUCGCUACCAGCAAUAACAAGUGGCAGAUGAAGGAGGGAUAGAAUAAUAAGAAGAAGAAAGUGAAUUAUUUGGUAAUAUACCAAUGCUAGACUAUACAAGAGUACCGUUAAGAUGCGCUGAAAAUGACGAUUCGAUUGAACGACUAGCACUUAAAUCGCAAACGAGCUGCGACGUUCAUAUUAAGGAAAGCCUAAGGAAAACAUUCCGGGAAAUGGAAUUGCAAAAUGAACAUGCUCUGCUGUUGAAAGAAAAUAAAAAUUUGAAAGCACAAAUAAAAUAUGUGAAAUAAAAGCUCUAAAGAGCCGAAAUGUCCAGAAAUCAAUUGCGUGAGAAGUUGAAGAGGUUAGAUGUCUUGAGGUGGAAACAUUUAUGUAAGGUCAAAAUACGCUUAAGUACGAAGAAGGAAAAGUUGAAAAAAGAUGGGCUAAGAGACAGAAAUUAAAAAAUAUACUGCAGCAAAACGAUCGCUAUGAAGUCAGCCCACGAAAUAAUCGUUUUCCGAAUUCCAUAGUUUCUGAAGAAUCGAUUUCUUCAAUGAUUCUAGGAGCAUUCAAAGAAUAACUCUUCUUUACAGCCGAGAAAGAUCCGCGGUCGAAAAGACAUGAAGAAGAAAAAGGCACGGAC